UACGAAGGGGGCUAGCGUUGCUCGGAAUCACUGGGCGUAAAGGGUGCGUAGGCGGGUUUUUAAGUCAGAGGUGAAAUCCUGGAGCUCAACUCCAGAACUGCCUUUGAUACUGGGAAGCUUGAGUAUGGAAGAGGUGAGUGGAACUGCGGGUGUAGAGGUGAAAUUCGUAGAUAUUCGGAAGAACACCAGUGGCGAAGGCGGCUCACUGGUCCAUAACUGACGCUGAGGCACGAAAGCUUGGGGAGCAAACAGG
rnacentral:rRNA from 1 species